rnacentral:tRNA from 1 species
AAGGGUAUAGCUCAAGUGGUAGAGUGCUUGCUUAGCAUCCACAGGGUCCUGGGUUCAAUCCCUAGUACCUUCU